rnacentral:ncRNA from 1 species
UACAUAAGCAAGUAGGAUUUGGGUGCUGAAUGUGCGAAUUCCAAGUGGGUCGUUUUUUGUAAGCAGAACUGAGGCUGUUGGAUGAACCAAACGCCCGGUUGAGGUGAAUAUCGCUGACGCUCCUGAGAUGCCACAAAAGUUGUUGGUUAAUAUAGACAGCAGGACGGUGGCCACGGAAGUAGGCAUCCGCUAAGGAGUGUUUAACAACUCGCCUGCCAAAUUGACCAGCCCUGGAAAUGGAUGGUGCUGGAGCGUUGGACCUAUACCGGGCCAUCACCGCAAGCUGGAUCUCUGGCUAUGUUUGGUGGUGUG